rnacentral:lncRNA from 1 species
AUAUAGAACCUAAAAUUUUAUUCAAAGAUCUGCUGGCUAGAAAGACAAAGAAUCCAUUCUCAUUGUAAGAAAACAAAAUCAGUAUCAUAUAGUUUACCUUUAUAAUUUCCAGUAUACCAGACAAAAAAAUCAUUGAAACUUUAAAUGAAAAAAAAAAACUAAGAAAACAUAAACAGAUCUGACAGAAUACCAAACUAAGAACAUAAUUUUAAGAAUAAAAAUUGAGAAUAGAAUCAAAGCUCUCUCAGCUUGUUCCUCUCCCUCCGAUCGAAAACCCAAAAUCAGCUUUGAUUCGUUUCAUUGAGCUUCUAUUUGGGUUCAGUAAGCCUUGAUUCUUCAAUUAGGGAAUGGAAUUUGUGAUUCAGUGAAAGAGAUUGGAGGGUAGGGUUCGAGGGAGAACGGGUGUGACAGAGAGAAAGAGGGAUAGUUCGAUCGAGUGAGAGGGUGAACGAUUUGCUGAAACAAAGAUUUGUUGAACUAGUUCGAUCAAUUUGGUGAAAUUGAAAGCUAGGG